rnacentral:tRNA from 1 species
GCUUCAGUAGCUCAGUUGGAAGAGCGUCAGUCUCAUAAUCUGAAGGUCGAGAGUUCGAACCUCCNCUGGAGCA